GGAGGUGACGGGCGGCGGCAGGUGGGGGUCACAGCGGGCGCGGAGUCCCUGCCCUGGCAGCGCGGGCAGCCGGCACAUGUUGCAGCCAGAGCGGCCGGAGCAAGGCGGAGAGAGGCGCAGUCGGCUGGGCAGGGAUGAAAGUCAGGCCAGCUCAGCUCACCGCAAAGGGAUCCUCUCAGGAGCAUUGGGAGGUUAAAUCAGAGGUGUCAGAGCUGCCCCCUCCCUGGGUAACUGAGUACUUUCCCAUCAGGAGCUGCCACCUCAUCUUCCGGGAUGGGUCUGGCCUGUUCUACCUCCCACUGCAUGCUGACAUUAAUGCCAACAUCUGGUGCAACUGGACCAUCUGGGCAGGCCCCCAGAAGCACAUUGUCAUCUAUGUCCAAGGGUUCCAGGGGAACGAUGGCUGUGGCAACAACCAGGACAAGAUCAUCUUCCAGGGGGUCUCGUCAAGCGUGGAAACCAAAGUGGUGUUUGCCUGCCACAACCGAGGCACUCUGGUCUUUGCUGCACGAGCCACUGAGGUCCAGGUGUUGUUUCUGUCAGGGAGUGGUUCCAGCAGCCAUGAGUACAGGUAUUUUAGAGGGCAGUAUUAUGUAUUCAGAGACUCUGAAACUGUGGGCUCUUCAAGUGAUACCAUAGCAGCUCCCCAGGAGCCUGUCCAGGAGACCUCUAAAAAUGAGAGCUGGAGGACAGUAGUGACCAAAGGUUUAUUCUCCAUGCUGACAGCUCCUCCAGUCCCACCAGCUGCACCUGCUGGUGGCAGGAUCCAGCCUGGCAUUGUGAGCCCAGGAGAGGUGGGCCAACAAUCUCCUGAUCUCAUGGAAGAUGGCCAGUCUGGUGCUAACUGGAGUGAGCAUGGUCAGGAUGAAACCAGGCUGGAAAUGACCCUUGAGGACAGUGGCAGCAAGGGCAGAGAAAAUGAAGAUGGCAUGUUGGUGGAGCCAGCUCCAGCUGGGCAAGGCACUGGGGGCAGAGCUGAGCCACCCGCCUUGGAGCUGUCCCCUGGGACAGCCCUGGUCACCAUGGUCCCACGUCACCCAGCUGGUUCCCCUCGCUCAGAGAUGCCUAGCAGCAGUGUAGGUGUCUCUGACACAUCACCUACCCUGGGUCAGGCCAGUGGCAGCCACUCAGAAGUGCCAGCUGCUGCACAUCACACACGGACACCAGAGCUGGCAGAGCGACCAAUGAACACCAGCACAAAACCACCUCUCUACCCCUCUCCUGGUGUGACUGCUGCGGAUGCGAAAUCUCUGGGAGGGAGGACUGAAGAGCUCUUUGAUCUGAUGUCACCUGUGGGCAAUGACACAGGACUGCAAUCCCAGCACCAUCCUGGAGAUGUGCUGUUUGAAGUCACUGCUGAAAUCAAACCCAAGGAUUGGAUUCCUGAUGGUGAAAAUGAGUUCCAAAAGGGUCUGCUUGAAUCUCUGAAGAAUCAUAUCCAGAAGAACCUGAAGCUUUCUGCCAAUAGAGUCAGUGAAAUUAAGUUAAAGGAUGUCAAAAGGACAAAGGAUGCCAACCUGCUGCUCACCUUCUGGCUGCACCUGGAGCCAGAGGAGAGGAACGUGUCUCUGCUCGUGCGCUCACAGCUGGAGGAGCUGCUUGGCACCUCGGUGGGUGUGGAGAAGCUGCAGCUUGUUUCACUCUUCGUUGAAGAUGUGAACGAGUGCCAGGCUGGGCUUGACCUCUGUGGGGAGGAGGCAGAGUGCUUCAAUGGCGUGGGCACCUACCUGUGCCGCUGCAAGAAGGACUACGAGGACCAUUCUCCCAUCAAGUCCGGCACGCUCUGCAUCCGCGCUCCCCGAGCAGGGAUCAGCACCUUCCUCCGCCACGCUGACAUGCUGGCGGGGGCAGCCCUGGUGGCCGGCCUGGUGCUGCUGGUGGCCUUUGGUGGUCUCUGCGUCACGGCCCUGUGGGGCCAGGUCCCCGGGAGGAGCCCAAGGCCUGAGGAGGCGGCGGUGAGGGCCGCGGAGGAGCCAGCCAUGGAGGAGCCAGCCAUGGAGCUGCAGGGCCUGGGGGAGCUCCUGCAGCUCGAGCCCUUCCAGCUGAAGCUGCGGGCCAGGCCCCCCGAGUGGCUCUGGAGCGUCCGGGCCCACCCUGGCCAGGCGGGACCGCAGUUGCCAGAGCGGCCUCCCCCGCUCUGAGGGGGGCCGGGCCUCGGAGAGCCGUCCAGGUGCUCCUGCAUUUCCCCAGGUUUCUGCCGCAACCCCUGGCUGUGCCAACCCUUCUGCUGUGUUUUAUGGACCGUGAAUAUCCCACAACAGUGUUCCUCAUGUUGUAACUUAAUUUUUUUAAUGCUUGCUCAGCUUGAGGAACAAAAUGUUUGCUCCACCCUGCUGUAUGCUUGCUGAUUUACCCCUACUCGAGAUCUGCACAGGAAAAUUAAAAACUUGAUUUUUCUUUUAAAGAAAAAAGGAAAUAAGACGCUUUGGUGCUUAUUGUGAAAUUAAAAAUUAUUC
ensembl:lncRNA UDP-GlcNAc:betaGal beta-1,3-N-acetylglucosaminyltransferase 2